rnacentral:rRNA from 1 species
AGUGAACGCUGGCGGUAGGCCUAACACAUGCAAGUCGAACGGCAGCACAGUAAGAGCUUGCUCUUACGGGUGGCGAGUGGCGGACGGGUGAGGAAUACAUCGGAAUCUACUUUUUCGUGGGGGAUAACGUAGGGAAACUUACGCUAAUACCGCAUACGACCUACGGGUGAAAGCAGCGGAUCUUCGGAUCUUGCGCGAUUGAAUGAGCCGAUGUCGGAUUAGCUAGUUGGCGGGGUAAAGGCCCACCAAGGCGACGAUCCGUAGCUGGUCUGAGAGGAUGAUCAGCCACACUGGAACUGAGACACGGUCCAGACUCCUACGGGAGGCAGCAGUGGGGAAUAUUGGACAAUGGGCGCAAGCCUGAUCCAGCCAUACCGCGUGGGUGAAGAAGGCCUUCGGGUUGUAAAGCCCUUUUGUUGGGAAAGAAAAGCAGCAGGUUAAUACCCCGCUGUUCUGACGGUACCCAAAGAAUAAGCACCGGCUAACUUCGUG